rnacentral:rRNA from 1 species
CCCAGACUCCUACGGGAGGCAGCAGUGGGGGAUAUUGCACAAUGGGGGAAACCCUGAUGCAGCGACGCCGCGUGGGCGAAGAAGUAUUUCGGUAUGUAAAGCCCUAUCGGCAGGGAAGAAGGAGGACGGUACCUGACUAAGAAGCCCCGGCUAACUACGUGCCAGCAGCCGCGGUAAUACGUAGGGGGCAAGCGUUAUCCGGAUUUACUGGGUGUAAAGGGGGCGCAGACGGCAGCGCAAGCCAGGAGUGAAAGCCCGGGGCCCAACCCCGGGACUGCUCUUGGAACUGCGCGGCUGGAGUGCAGGAGGGGCAGGCGGAAUUCCUGGUGUAGCGGUGAAAUGCGUAGAUAUCAGGAGGAACACCGGUGGCGAAGGCGGCCUGCUGGACUGCGACUGACGUUGAGGCCCGAAAGCGUGGGGAGCAAACAGGAUUAGAUACCCCGGUA